GUGUAGCGAAUUGGGUACCCGGCUUUCCUGAUCUGGAUGGUCUCCAUCAUCCCCGAGUAUCGCAGCUGUUUGAUGCACAGCUCCCGGUCGAACAACUGACGGGGAAAGCACACAAGGAGGAGACUUAGCCCUGUAAGAAGUUACAGGGCAAGGCUGCCCUCCAGUGAUCAAAGACUUGUCUUUGGCAAACAGCUCCUGGGAAUGUCUUGUCACAGCCCAGAUGCCUCUUGGGGCUAACAAGCAUCUGAAGUAGGAUGUUUACCUGUCCAUGGCCAGGUGAUCUGGACAGCAGAAAGCCACACUGGGACAAAGACAGAGGAAGAAAGAACAGGAUCAGAAAACAAUGCCAGGAGAAUAGAAGAUAAG